rnacentral:rRNA from 1 species
GACGAACGCUGGCGGCGUGCUUAACACAUGCAAGUCGAACGGAAAGGCCCUGCUUUUGUGGGGUGCUCGAGUGGCGAACGGGUGAGUAACACGUGAGUAACCUGCCCUUGACUUUGGGAUAACUUCAGGAAACUGGGGCUAAUACCGGAUAGGAGCUCCUGCUGCAUGGUGGGGGUUGGAAAGUUUCGGCGGUUGGGGAUGGACUCGCGGCUUAUCAGCUUGUUGGUGGGGUAGUGGCUUACCAAGGCUUUGACGGGUAGCCGGCCUGAGAGGGUGACCGGCCACAUUGGGGCUGAGAUACGGCCCAGACACCCCGGGGGGGGAGAGGGGGGGAAAAUUGAACAAGGGGGGGAAGCGGCUGGCGGCAAGCCGCCGUGGGGGAGGAGGGCCUUCGGGUUGCAAACCCUUUUCGCCUGUGAGGAGGGGGAAGGGGGGGAAAUGGGGAAAAAAGCACCGGUUACUCACGG